GACGAACGCUGGCGGCGUGCCUAAUACAUGCAAGUCGAACGCAGUGGGGACGGGUGAGUAACACGUGGGUAACCUCCCAUCAGAGGGGAUAACACUUGGAAACAGGUGCUAAACCGAUAAGGAUGGAUGGACACGCGGUGGAUUAGCUUGUUGGUGGGGUAACGGCGCACCAAGGCCACGAUGCAUAGCCGACCUGAGAGGGGGACCGGCCACACUGGGACUGAGACACGGCCCAGACUCCUACGGGAGGCAGCAGUAGGGAAUCUUGGGCAAUGGAGGAAAGUCUGACCGAGCAAUGCCGCGUGAAUGAAGAAGGUUUUCGGGUCGUAAAGCUCUUUUGUUAGAGAAGCGGUAUCUAACCAAAAAGCCACGGCUAACUACGUGCCAGCAGCCGCGGUAAUUC
rnacentral:rRNA from 1 species